GUCGACCCCUAAGGCGAGGCCGAAAGGCGUAGUCGAUGGGAAACAGGUUAAUAUUCCUGUACUUGGUGUUACUGCGAAGGGGGGACGGAGAAGGCUAUGUUAGCCGGGCGACGGUUGUCCCGGUUUAAGCAUGUAGGCUGGUUAUCCAGGCAAAUCCGGAUAACCAAGGCUGAGGUGUGAUGACGAGGCACUACGGUGCUGAAGUAACAAAUGCCCUGCUUCCAGGAAAAGCCUCUAAGCAUCAGGUAACAUCAAAUCGUACCCCAAACCGACACAGGUGGUCAGGUAGAGAAUACCAAGGCGCUUGAGAGAACUCGGGUGAAGGA
rnacentral:rRNA from 1 species